rnacentral:rRNA from 1 species
GACGAACGCUGGCGGCGUGCUUAACACAUGCAAGUCGAACGGAAAGGCCCUGCUUUUGUGGGGUGCUCGAGUGGCGAACGGGUGAGUAACACGUGAGUAACCUGCCCUUGACUUUGGGAUAACUUCAGGAAACUGGGGCUAAUACCGGAUAGGAGCUCCUGCUGCAUGGUGUGGGUUGGAAAGUUUCGGCGGUUGGGGAUGGACUCGCGGCUUAUCAGCUUGUUGGUGGGGUAGUGGCUUACCAAGGCUUUGACGGGUAGCCGGCCUGAGAGGGUGACCGGCCACAUUGGGACUGAGAUACGGCCCAGACUCCUACGGGAGGCAGCAGUGGGGAAUAUUGCAGAAUGGGCGGAAGCCUGAUGCAGCAACGCCGCGUGCGGGAUGACGGCCUUCGGGUUGUAAACCGCUUUCGCCUGUGACGAAGCGUGAGUGACGGUAAUGGGUAAAGAAGCACCGGCUAACUACGUG